GUAGCUGCAGCAGCUAGUCGUUCGCGGAUCUCGACGAUGUCUGGCGACUCCGUUGUGAAACGGGAAACUGAUUGACUGGUUCGAUUGAUUUAUGUAGGCAUUCUCUGGGUGUUCAACGUCGCUGAUAAUUACGAGGUUGACGAAAAAACUUAGUCUGUUAUCCCAGGGGCAUAUUUUCGUGACCAUUGAUCGGCAGGAUUCAUCCAAUUGGUAGGGCAUGUAUGUAAAGAUGAUGAUAAGGUAUUCAGGGCCUUAUCGCUCGCCUUGCUGCACUAACGGAGUCCCCCGAAACUCCGAAAUGGGACGUCAUACCGUAAGAUCAACUCUGCAAAGAGAACGCAAUUUCUGCAUUUAUUUUUGGCAAUUGCAUGCUAUUUUUGCCUAUGCUAUAUUUUGACAACACAAUGCAACGUAUUUACAAGAUCAGAGGCAUAAUAAGAACAAAUAUGUGUAUACAAUAUUUUAAUUAUCAAUAGAUAUAGAUAAUGUUGUUAUAUAUGCAUGUAGUAUGUUUACAUUAUGUAUUUAUAUUUAUUAUCUUUAUUGGAAUAAAUAAUAAGCGGUUGUACUUUACUUUUCAGCACAAUUCAAGAUAAAGUAUCGUAAUCAAUAUUUGCCUAAAAAAAAAAAAAAAUGGCUACGUACGACGAUGAAUAUGAUGGCUUUUCCUGUUGAAGUUUCAUGUUAAAAUUUGGAAAGAUCACGUUUCACAUAUUAUUAGUGUCUGGUAUUUACACCUGAUUCCUCGAUUAUCUUGAAACACGACACUUUGUCUCUCCCCUCGCAACAUGUAUUCAGGUGAUGGAGGAAUCGGAUGUUAAUGCCAAAUGUAGCGUAUGCGUCACAGAACUUGCCUUCAUGGGCUAGUAAAUUAAAAUUUUUUUCUUAUUUUUAUUAUUAGAUACAUUAUGAACUAUUUCAUAGUAUAUUUUCCGUUUUUCACAUAAUUAGUAUUUAUUUAUUUUUUCCUUUUCUCUUUCCUGUAAUAUCCUUACUCAUCAUUUGGUUAGUCGUCACCCGAUAGAUUGCUUGUACGCAUACCCAUCAACAUAUAAAAAGUCUACCACUUGCAAGUUUACGU
rnacentral:lncRNA from 1 species